AUCCAGCUGAUGAGUCCCAAAUAGGAUGGAAUGCAUGUCCUGGAU
rnacentral:hammerhead_ribozyme from 1 species